rnacentral:rRNA from 1 species
GAUGAACGCUGGCGGCGUGCCUAACACAUGCAAGUCGAGCGAACGGACCAUAACGGUGCUUCUCUGGUGUUGGCGGCGGACGUGAGAGUAACACGAGGAUCCCCGCCCUAUGAGACUGGGAUAACUUAGGGAAACCGUAGCUAAUACCGGCUGAUCUUUUGAACGGGAUGGUUAAAAAGUGAACGACGUUCUUUGAGUCCCUUAUAGAUGGAUCCGCGCUGCAUUAGCUAGUUGGUAAGGUAACGGCUUACCAAGGGAACGAUGCAUAGCCGACCUGACAGGGGGAUCGCCGACACUGGAGUUGAGACACGGUCCAGACACCGACGGGAGGCAGAAGUAGGGAAGGGUCGGCAAUGGGGGAAAGACUGACGGAGCAACGCCGCGUGAGUGAUGAAGGUCUGCGGAUCGUAAAACUCUGUUAUUAGGGAAGAACAUAUGUGUAAGUAACUGUGCACAUCGUGACGGUACCUAAACAGAAAGCCACGGCUAACUACGUG